GCCAAGACUAGCCCCAAACAUAAUCAUCACUAAUAACAAGUCAACAUACACUAAACCAUUUACCUACACAAAGUAUAGGCGAUAGAAAUUUUAACCUGGCGCUAUAGAUACAGUACCGUAAGGGAAAGAUAGAAAACCACCCAAGCACAAAACAGCAAGGACUGACCCCUGUACCUUUCGCAUAAUGGAUUAGCUAGAAACAAUUUUACAAAGAGAACUACAAGCCAAAUUCCCCGAAACCAGACGAGCUACCCAAAAACAGCUAAAAGAGCGCACCCGUCUAUGUAGCAAAAUAGUGGGAAGAUUUUUGGGUAGAGGUGACAAGCCUACCGAGCCUGGUGAUAGCUGGUUAUCCAAGACAGAAUCUUAGUUCAACCUUAAGCUUACCCACAGAACCACCUAAUCCCCCUGUAAGCUUAAUUGCUAGUCUAAAGAGGGACAGCUCUUUAGACACUAGGAAAAAACCUUACAGAGAGAGUAAAAACCCCAAUUACCAUAGUUGGCCUAAAAGCAGCCAUCAAUUAAGAAAGCGUUCAAGCUCAACAUCAACUACCUCAAAAAUAUCAAACACAUAACUGAACUCCUCACACCACAUUGGAUUAAUCUAUCACCACAUAGAAGCAAUAAUGCUAGUAUAAGUAACAUGAAUACUUUCUCCACUGCAUAAGCCUAAAUCGGACCGAAAAAUCUCACCGACACUUAACAGCCAAGCAUAACAAACACAAACAAGUCCAUGCCACCUUCACUGUUAACCCAACACAGGCAUGCCUCAAGGAAAGGUUAAAAAAAGUAAAAGGAACUCGGCAAACUCAAACCCCGCCUGUUUACCAAAAACAUCACCUCUAGCAUUACCAGUAUUAGAGGCACUGCCUGCCCGGUGACACACGUUUAACGGCCGCGGUACCCUGAC
rnacentral:rRNA from 1 species